rnacentral:rRNA from 1 species
GAUGAACGCUGGCGGCGUGCCUAAUACAUGCAAGUCGAGCGAACAGAUGAGGAGCUUGCUCCUCUGACGUUAGCGGCGGACGGGUGAGUAACACGUGGAUAACCUACCUAUAAGACUGGGAUAACUUCGGGAAACCGGAGCUAAUACCGGAUAAUAUAUUGAACCGCAUGGUUCAAUAGUGAAAGACGGUUUUGCUGUCACUUAUAGAUGGAUCCGCGCCGCAUUAGCUAGUUGGUAAGGUAACGGCUUACCAAGGCAACGAUGCGUAGCCGACCUGAGAGGGUGAUCGGCCACACUAGAACUGAGACACGGUACAGACUCCUACGGGAGGCAGCAGUAGGGAAUCUUCCGCAAUGAGCGAAAGCCUGACGGAGCAACGCCGCGUGAGUGAUGAAGGUCUUCGGAUCUUAAAACUCUGUUAUUAGGGGAGAACAAAUGUGUAAGUAACUAUGCACGUCUUGACGGUACCUAAUCAGAAAGCCACGGCUAACUACGUG